rnacentral:rRNA from 1 species
AACAGGUGAAGAAAGAACCGGGCAAGACCGAUGCCAGCCGCCGCGGUAAUACCAGCGGCUCGAGUGGUGGCCACUAUUAUUGGGCUUAAAGCGUCCGUAGCUUGGUUGUUAAGCAUCUUGGGAAAUGAACCGGCUCAACCGGUAGGCGUUCAGGAGAUACUGGCAAUCUAGGGACCGGGAGAGGUGAGAGGUAAUCCAGGGGUAGGAGUGAAAUCCUGUAAUCCUUGGGGGACCACCUGUGACGAAGGCGUCUCACUAGAACGGCUCCGACAGUGAGGGACGAAAGCUGGGGGAGCAAACCGGAUUAGAUACCCGGGUAGUCCCAGCUGUAAACGAUGCGCGUUAGGUGUAUCGGUGACCACGAGUCACCGAGGUGCCGAAGGGAAACCGUGAAACGUGCCGCCUGGGAAGUACGGUCGCAAGGCUGAAACUUAAAGGAAUUGGCGGGGGAGCACCACAACAGGUGGAGCCUGCGGUUUAAUCGGACUCAACGCCGGAAAGCUCACCGGAUAAGACAGCGGAAUGAUAGCCGGGCUGAAGACUCUGCUUGACUAGCUGAGAGGAGGUGCAUGGCCGUCUUCAGUAGUAUUUAAAAGAUAUUNNNU